AACGAACGCUGGCGGCAGGCUUAACACAUGCAAGUCGAACGCGCCCUUCGGGGCGAGUGGCAGACGGGUGAGUAACGCGUGGGAACCUACCUUUUGGUACGGAAUAACUCAGGGAAACUUGAGCUAAUACCGUAUUUGCCCUGUCCCUUAAAGGGAUUUGGGGAAAGAUUUAUCGCCAAAGGAUGGGCCCGCGUCGGAUUAGGUAGUUGGUGGGGUAAUUGCCUACCAAGGCGACGAUCCGUAGCUGGUCUGAGAGGAUGAUCAGCCACACUGGGACUGAGACACGGCCCAGACUCCUACGGGAGGCAGCAGUGGGGAAUAUUGGACAAUGGGAGCAACCCUGAUCCAGCCAUGCCGCGUGAGUGAAGAAGGCCUUAGGGUUGUAAAGCUCUUUCGCCGGUGAAGAUAAUGACGGUAACCGGAGAAGAAGCCCCGGCUAACUUCGUGCCAGCAGCCGCGGUAAGAC
rnacentral:rRNA from 1 species